UGGUAGUUUGGCAUAGUGGCAAUGCCCUCUUUUGAGAUUCCCACGUCUUGCAAGAGUCCCUUGGUUCAAAUCCAGGACUACUCA